rnacentral:lncRNA from 1 species
CACUGCAUCCACUGCAUGGGCACUGCAUUCAACUUAAGGGACACAGAAGUUGGCACUGCAACCCCUGCAGGUUAGCUGCUUCCUGCUGAUGUGGAAAUGCAGGUGCACUGCAAUCACUGCAGGAUCACUGCAUCUGCCUCAUGGGCACUGCAACCUCCCUGACCACAUACAUCAUCACUGCAUGAGCACUCAAUCCACAUUCAGGGACACUGCAUCCAGAUGAACUGACACUGCAGGUGCACUGCAAUGAAUGCAGGAUCACUGCAUCCUCCUUCAUGGGUACUGCAUCCUACAUCACAAAAUACUGCAUCCACCUUGGGUCACACUGCAGAGGCUUCAUGGUCCCUGCAUACACAUUCAGAGACACUGCAGUGGGCUCUGCAACCACUGCAGGGGCACUGUAUGCAGCUGAAGUCACACUGCAUGUGCACCGCAAUCACUGAAUGUUCACAGUGUCCACUUCAUGUUCACUGCAACCACCCUCAUGGGCACUGCAUCCUCUGUCACAACAUACUGCAUCCAUCUUGUGUGACACUGCAUCCAAAGCCUGGGCACUGCAUCCGCAUUCCCGAAUAAUGCAGGCAGCACUGCAAACACUGCAGGAUCACUGCAUCUGUCUUCACGGGCACUGCAUCCUCCAUCACAACAUACUUCAUCACUGCAUGAGCACUGCAUCCAAACUCAGGGACAGUGAAGGCUGCACUGCAGCGACUGCAGGGACACUGCAACCUGCUGAAGUGGCACUGCAUGUGCACUGCAGCCACAGCAGGAUCACGGCAUCCACAUUCAUGGGUACUGCAUCAUCUGUCACAACACACCACAUCCAUCUUUGGUACUCUGCAUGAACAGCAUGGUCACUGCAUUCGAAAUCAGAGACACAGAAGGGGCACUGCAAACACUGCAGGCACACUGCGGCCGGCAGAAGUGGCACUGGAGGUGCUCUGCAAUCACUGCAGAAUCUCUGCACCCUCCUUCAUGGGCAAAGCAUUAUCCGUCAUAACAUACAGCAUCCACCUUGUGGGGCACUGAAUCCACUGCAAGGGCAUGGCAUUCUCAUUGAGGGACCCUGCAGAGGGCACUGCAACCACUGCAGGAACACUGCAUCCACCUUCAUGGGCGCUGCUUCCUCCAACACAACAUACUUCAUAUACAUUCAGUGACACUGCAGCCAUCGCAUGGGCACUGCAGCCAUGUUCAGGGACAGGCACUCCAACCACUGCAGGGACACUGGAUCCACAUGAAGUGGCUCUGCAGAUGCACUGAAAUCACUGCUGGAUCACUGCAUCUGCCUUCACGGGCACUGCAUCCUCUAUCACAACAUACAUCAUCACUGCAUGAGCACUGAAUCCACAUUAGGGACACUGCAUCCAGAUGAAUUGACACUGUAGGUGCACUGCAAUCAAUGCAGUCUCACUGCAUCCACCUUCGUGGGUACUGCAUGCACUGCAUGGGCACCGCAUCCACAUUCAAGGAAACUGUAGGGAACACUGCACC